rnacentral:rRNA from 1 species
UGCCAGCCGCCGCGGUAAUACAGAGGAUGCAAGCGUUAUCCGGAAUCACUGGGCGUAAAGAGCUCGUAGGCGGUUAGAUAAGUCAGUGGUGAAAGUUUUCGGCUCAACCGGAAAAAUGCCAUUGAUACUGUUUAACUUGAAUUAGUGUGAAGUAAUUAGAAUAAGUAGUGUAGCGGUGAAAUGCAUAGAUAUUCUUAGAAUACCGAUUGCGAAGGCAGGUUACUAACACUAUAUUGACGCUGAGGGACGAAAGCGUGGGGAGCGAACAGGAUUAGAUA